AGUGAACGCUGGCGGCAGGCCUAACACAUGCAAGUCGAACGGCAGCACAAGAGAGCUUGCUCUCUGGGUGGCGAGUGGCGGACGGGUGAGGAAUGCAUCGGAAUCUGCCCAUUUGUGGGGGAUAACCUCGGGAAACCGGGACUAAUACCGCAUACGACCUACGGGUGAAAGCAGGGGAUCUUCGGACCUUGCGCGGAUGGAUGAGCCGAUGCCGGAUUAGCUAGUUGGAGGGGUAAAGGCCCACCAAGGCGACGAUCCGUAGCUGGUCUGAGAGGAUGAUCAGCCACACUGGGACUGAGACACGGCCCAGACUCCUACGGGAGGCAGCAGUGGGGAAUAUUGGACAAUGGGCGCAAGCCUGAUCCAGCCAUGCCGCGUGUGUGAAGAAGGCCUUCGGGUUGUAAAGCACUUUUGUUGGGAAAGAAAAGCAGCCGGUUAAUACCCGGUUGUCAUGACGGUACCCAAAGAAUAAGCACCGGCUAACUUCGUG
rnacentral:rRNA from 1 species